rnacentral:rRNA from 1 species
AACGAACGCUGGCGGCAUGCCUAACACAUGCAAGUCGAACGAGACCUUCGGGCCUUGUGGCGCACGAGUGCGUAACGCGUGGUAACCUGCCCUUAGUUUCGGGAUAACUCCCCGCAUGGUGUCCUAAUACCGGUUAAUGUCUCCGGACCAAAGAUUUAUCGCCGUUGGAUGUGCCCGCGUUGGAUUUGCUAGUUGGUAGGGUAAAAGCCUACCAAGGCGACGAUCCAGAGCUGGUUUGAGAGGAUGAUCAGCCACACUGGGACUGAGACACGGCCCAGACUCCUACGGGAGGCAGCAGUGGGGAAUAUUGGACAAUGGGCGAAAGCCUGAUCCAGCAAUGCCGCGUGAGUGAUGAAGGCCUUAGGGUUGUAAAGCUCUUUUACCCGGGAUGAUAAUGACAGUACCGGGAGAAUAAGCUCCGGCUAACUCCGUG